AGAGCAAUAAUAUUACAUAUUCUUGGUUAAUUAAAUUAAAGGCGUAAGAGAAAAACAAAAGGGAAUAAGAGAAUGAAUAGAAAAUUUAAGUUUGAAAAAAUUAACUAGUGGGGCAUGCAUGAACUUGGUCCUGGACUCCUGGUUUUUCAUGCUUCAGUGAAUUGGAUUGGAGCAAGCUUCACAGGAGCAACAGAAGUUCCCUUCACAAUGGCCAUGUAGUCUCCGCUUUCACCUUCAAAAUAAACCUUCAAAAACGCCACAACAAUGCCUCCUACAGUUCUCCUCAUCGGCUCCUUUGGAUUCACACCACUCUUGCACAAAGAAUUUGUCAAUCUCCCAACUAUGUCCGUUAUAUUGUCAUUUAACAUGUCCAUGUGUCCGUAGUCAGUAGUAACAAAAUGACCCGCAGGAGCUCUGCACUCAUUGAAAAACUCCUCAUGAUUCAUUUCAUCAGGUGCACAAGCAGGGCAUACUAGCCAACAAACAGGCUGAUUGCCCAACCCAGUACCAAUUACAGUUACAGGGAUCGAUAAGUUAAGAGAUCGAGGGACAUAUGUGAGAAUCUUGGGCUGAAUAGGGUUGUUUUUGCUUGUCCCUUCGACGGGGUCUAUGCCUGCAAGUGUUGAAAUUUUAACUUCUAGGGGUGUGUCGGCAUAUCCAAGUGCAAGCGCAAACGCUGUCUUUCCUCCUCUACUGUGGCCGCUAACAGAAAGCUUGUUUAGGUCGCCUUUAACAUUUUCAGGAAGCACAGACUGCAGGCCUGAGGGUGACCAGUUCACAACUUGUACUGCAAACUCGAGUUCUGCAGGUCCACUUAUAGGUAGCAUAGGUAUCACCCGGUUUAUCAAGCAAGAAUACAACUGGGGAGCAACAACUAUAUAUCCAUGAGAAGAUAUAUGUUGGAGGAGGUCAGUGUAGAAAGAGUUGCUGAGGCAGGUGCCAUGGAGAAAUAUGAUGACAGGGUACGUGCCCUGUAUAAUGGGUGUAACAAUUAACAAAGGUUUUGGAGGUGAAGCGGGGUCUGAUUCUUCCACUUGAUAAUAUGUUGUGGAAAAUUUUCCUGUUUGAAAAGAACUGAUUGUUCCUGAAUCAGACUGAGCUUCCAACAGGAAUG
rnacentral:misc_RNA from 1 species